UACGUAGGGCGCAAGCGUUGUCCGGAAUUAUUGGGCGUAAAGAGCUCGUAGGUGGCGUGUCGCGUCUGCCGUGAAAGCCCAUGGCUUAACUGUGGGUCUGCGGUGGAUACGGGCAGGCUGGAGGCUGGUAGGGGCAAGCGGAAUUCCUGGUGUAGCGGUGAAAUGCGCAGAUAUCAGGAGGAACACCGGUGGCGAAGGCGGCUUGCUGGGCCAGUUCUGACGCUGGGGAGCGAAAGCGUGGGGAGCGAACAGG
rnacentral:rRNA from 1 species